rnacentral:rRNA from 1 species
AACGAACGCUGGCGGCAGGCCUAACACAUGCAAGUCGAACGCUCCGCAAGGGGAGUGGCGCACGGGUGAGUAACACGUGGGAACCUACCUUCUGGUACGGAACAACCAAGGGAAACUUUGGCUAAGACCGUAUACGACCUCCGGGUGAAAGAUUGAUCGCCGGAAGAGGGGCCCGCGUCCGAUUAGGUAGUUGGUGAGGUAACGGCUCACCAAGCCUUCGAUCGGUAGCUGGUCUGAGAGGAUGACCAGCCACACUGGGACUGAGACACGGCCCAGACUCCUACGGGAGGCAGCAGUGGGGAAUAUUGGACAAUGGGCGCAAGCCUGAUCCAGCCAUGCCGCGUGAGUGAUGAAGGCCUUCGGUUGUU